AAGCCCGACUUAAUAAGCCCGACCGGCCCGACUAUGCGAAGCCAGGCGAAGCUAUGGGGUGAGGGUCCCUAAAGCUAAGUUGGGUAAAACAAAAAAGUAAAGUUAGUGAAAGAUUCUCUUAGACUCCAAAACCGGCUGCUACUUACUAGAGCCAGCAGCUGGGUGCCUUAAAGUUGAAGAUAGUGAAAGAUCACUAAUGUAUAGGUUUGAAUUUUGUAACUAUGCCAAGGUAACAAGCCGUCUUAUGGUAGAAAUUCUUAGGCCUUACACCUUAGUUGUUACUGAUUGUCUGCUGAAUGUAGAUUGUGUUCUAUUUUAAACAUUAUCUUGGUUACAACACAAAAAUUUGCCACUUUUUUGUGCCAACCUGAGACACACUUCUUUUCAAGAUUAUUUGCAUGCUACACUCACGGUAGAUUGUCACCAGACAUCCUUUGAAUGGUACACCCACUGUCAGCAGCCUUACAGUGUGCUUCAUAAAUACAUCAAACCCUGAGAUAACAUUAUCGUUGGAAAUUGUGUGUUUGUUGUGGUUUUGUUUUCCACUUCUAUUAUCCACAUGCAAUUUUCACACUACUUCAUUACCUUUGUGGUGGAUAUUUUAUCAUCCUGGAAAAAGGAUUAUGGAAAUUGAUGAUUUCUAAUAUACAGCUGCAGAUAACAAAUUUUAAUAUAUUAACAUUUCAGAAUGAGCUUUCAAUUUGAAGCUGUGAGUGUUUUAUCAGAUUACGAAUUCCUACUUUGUAAACCAAACUUUCCUUCUACAAAUGGAUUUUGAAGUAUCACAUGGGUAUUAUGUGCUCUAUGAUAUCUUUGCAAAGUUUUUAAUUUCUGUUAUACUAAAAAAAUUCCCAUGGAAGGAAGUUCUUGCAGGAUCUGUUAUCGACCGUCUAUGUUAUGCAGUAAUUGGAUCUGCAGUUUAGUUAGAAACUGUUACUUAGAAAUGGGCUCAGUGUAGAAUUUAUAUGAAAAAUGAUAUUUGAUUGGAAAAAGAUCCUGGUUGAGACAAGAGAU